GGAGUUAGCCGGUGCUUCUUCUGUGAGUGAUGUCCUUCCUGCCGGCUAUUAACCCGCAGGCCUUCUUCCUCACUGAAAGUGCUUUACAACCCGAAGGCCUUCUUCACACACGCGGCAUGGCUGGAUCAGGGUUGCCCCCAUUGUCCAAUAUUCCCCACUGCUGCCUCCCGUAGGAGUCUGGGCCGUGUCUCAGUCCCAGUGUGGCUGAUCAUCCUCUCAGACCAGCUACGGGAUCGUCGCCUUGGUGAGCCGUUACCUCACCAACCAGCUAAUCCGACAUAGGCUCAUCCGAUAGCGCGAGGCCCGAAGGUCCCCCGNUUUCCCCCGUAGGGCGUAUGCGGUAUUAGCCUGGGUUUCCCCAGGGUUAUCCCCCACUACCGGGCAGAUUCCUAUGCAUUACUCACCCGUCCGCCGCUCGCCACCAGGGAGCAAGCUCCCCGUGCUGCCGCUCGACUUGCAUGUGUUAGGCCUGCCGCCAGCGUUCAAUCUGAGCCAGGAUCAAACUCUGA
rnacentral:rRNA from 1 species